CGGGAACGACGAAGGGGAAUCCGACUGUUUAAUUAAAACAAAGCA
rnacentral:rRNA from 1 species